rnacentral:rRNA from 1 species
GUAGGUGGCAAGCGUUGUCCGGAAUUAUUGGGCGUAAAGCGCGCGCAGGCGGUCCUUUAAGUCUGAUGUGAAAGCCCACGGCUCAACCGUGGAGGGUCAUUGGAAACUGGGGGACUUGAGUACAGAAGAGGAAAGCGGAAUUCCAAGUGUAGCGGUGAAAUGCGUAGAGAUUUGGAGGAACACCAGUGGCGAAGGCGGCUUUCUGGUCUGUAACUGACGCUGAGGCGCGAAAGCGUGGGGAGCAAACAGGAUUAGAUACCCUGGUAGUCCACGCCGUAAACGAUGAGUGCUAAGUGUUAGGGGGUUUCCCGCCCCCUUAGUGCUGCAGCUAACGCAUUAAGCACUCCGCCUGGGGGAGUACGGCCGCAAGGCCG